CCAGCCCCCGCCAGUCCUGCUGCAGGCGGAUGGUGCGGCUGGCGAAGUGGAAGGUGGCCGAAGGGCUGUGCAGCUGCCGCGCUCCCCAGCCGGCUCCCUCCUCGUAGGGCACCAGGGCCAUCCCGUCGCCGGCGACUGCAGGCCCCGGCUGGCUGCGGCCUCGGCCGCCGGCCGGGCCCUGCCCGAGCCCCGCGCUCCCCGAGCCGCGGGAAGGGGGUGGCCCGGGUCCGCCACCGGCAGAGCCCCGGCCCCUCGCCUGGGCCCGGCUCCUCGCCUGGGCCCGACCCGCUCCUCCGGAACCGCAGCCCCGGCGCUGCCGCAGAGCGCCCGGCCCGGCCCCCAGCGCCGCAGCCCGGGGCGGGCGCGGCCUCCUCGCACCGCCCGGACGGGAACGGCGGCGCCGAGCGGCCGAGCCGGGGGGCGAUCACAACCCGGGCACAGCGGGCCGCGCUGCGGUGGGCUGGGCUGGGCUGGGCUGAGCGCUCCUGCCCCUCAGCCGCGACGGGAGCGGGCUGGGGGACAGGACGGAAGGCGACCCGGGGGUGGUGCGGGGCUGUGCCCGUGGCCGGCGCUGGGGAGAAGCCGCGCGGUGCCUCCUGCGGGAGGCUGGGCCCGGAGGAGCUCCCGCGGACCUACCGCCACACCACAAGGUACGGCGUUUCCCUGUGGGACAUUGCCAAUGUCCCCGCAGCCUCCCUGCCGUGCCAGCCUCUGGCUUUUGUUUCGGGAGUCUUUGGAAGGCAGUGCAAAGGAAGGCGUUUGUCCAGCCCACCGGCCUCGUCCUCCAUUGCUGGCACGGAGAGCAUUAUCACUGCAAGUGCUCAUCACCAGCCUGGAAGCGGUCCCUGGGACUGGGUAACCAUGGCAAAAACAGAGCAGUUCUUCUGCAUCUCAGUGGAGCACUGACCAAGGCAGCACAGGCAAAGCUGCUCUGGGCUGGCGGUGAGGUGGUAAUGCUCCUGUGGCGCUGUUUGUGCAUGGGCUUCUCUUCACCUUUGGCUCCAUUUAAUCUCGUUUGGCAAAACAACACAGUGCUCCUCUCCUUUGUUACUUGAACUAGCUCCAAAGACUGCUAAAGGCCAUGGGAGAGCCAGGGAAGUGUCCUGGCAGCCCUUGCACUCUGGCUGCCCGGAGGCUGUGCUGCAGGUACUCCACAGAAAGGCUCGGCGCCUCUAACUGUGCUCCUCAGCCCCUGGGAGCAGGGCAGGGGAGCAGCACACCUUCUCUGCACCCAUCUCCAGAGGCUCUGUGGCAGCGUGGUAUAUCCCAGUGACACCACCGAUGGGGCAAGGCCAGCCCUUCGAAGCUGGGGAGCCUAACAAGCUCCAGAAAACAUCCCCACUAUUUCCCACAGGGAGCAGCAAAUCUGACUAGCAGACAAAAGCAAAUGUGGUAACAUCUAAAUACUGGCAAUUUCAACAGAGUGGGACAGGAUUCAUGAAAAUCUUUUUCAAGAAUCAUUACAGGCUGCACAGGGGUAACAGGAAAUAAAGCUUGUCUUUAGGGUUCUGCUGCUGUAGGAGAAUGGAAACCAAAAUUUCACUUGCCCCAAACCGGUUCAUACUUGAAUUAUGGCAACUCAGACUUCUCCUCAUAAACAUGCCAGAACGAGUGUGAUGAUUCAGCUUACUGUGGUUUUAUGUCCUAAAGUACUGGUCCCUUGCCACUACUGCUUUUGAGUUUGAAAUUGCUUGUGCUAUUAUCUCGAUUAUUUUUUUAAUUAUUUAUAUAGGCAGUGUGGGAAAAGCAAUGAGAAUGAUUACACUUGAAAUGAGAACUCUGUUUGAAUGAGUUUUUGAGUCACUUACACUGUGCCUAAACUACACCAUCAGGCAAAUAGAGGAAAACUCCCAAAUGGCACAAAGCUUUGGCCUCUGCUUCCAGAACCACGUCAGCCUUGGGAUCUCCAACCAAAAUGUGGAGGAGUGUGGCAGGGCUCCAGUGCUCCCAACUGCCUCCUUUCUGCCUCAGAUGAUCAGUUUUCUUCUCCUGCAGUCAUAAGACCAAGGGUCUGGCUGAAGAGCAACUGGAGUGAAAAAAAUGCUGUAUGUGAAAAUUUAUACAUUUGUUCUCAAAGAUGACAAUGCAGCAAGUGCUUUUAUCCCAAUAAUGUGGGUUUGUUAGGAUGCCCUGAAUGUCUUUGGAGCCCAGCAGAUUCUCUACUGAUCCUGCCCUGCUUCCAGAAGUAUUUCCCCUUCUUCCCUGAUAAAGUUGCUUUGGCACUGACUUCCACGAACCUUAGACCGGAGAUCAGAAAUUACUUUCCAGAUCAUAACUGGAUAGUGAAGCUUUAAAAGAGAACCAAGUCCACUAGAAUUUCAGUCUGGGCCCUGAUUCCCCAUAUUCAUUCUAAGCCUACAUCUACCUGCUCUUCCCUUUUCUGUAUCCAUUUUCUAAGAAGAUGCAGCAGCUGGGUAUUACAGUGGCAGAGAAAGACACUUGGUUUCUUCUACCUUUCCUGACAAUAGAAGGAUAAGAAAAACUCAACAACACAGAAUUAUGGCUAAAACAGAUGCCCAGAACUGAAAUGCUUUUUCUCCCAGCAGGGCUAAAGCUCAGCACAACAGUAAAAUUGCGAGAGCAUAGCCUGGUUCAGCUUUUAAGCACUGCAGAGGGCUAUAAGGAUACCUAAGCUGCACAUAAUCUUGCCAAGUAGGAAACAGCUGACUUUAAGUUCUGCAGACGCUGGAUGUAGCGCAUGGCUGCGCAUGGAUUUUGGAGACAUCCAUGGUGGGAAAAUACUGCAUCUCUCAUGCAGUCUCCGGUUACCAAGGCAAACGCAGGUAUAAAUAGAAACAAUCUGGGGUUUUUUUUUAAACUCUAUCUAGAAACCUGUGUUGUUGAUAACCCUCUAACAGCAACGCCUUAUUCCAAAUGGUUCUGUUCCACAUUUGUGUGGAAACUUCUGGUCAUACACAUUUAAUCCUUUCCUCCCUAAAUAAAUGGCAGCUGCUUCUGGUUGUCAUUCCACUCAGAUAUAAAAAUUUUCUUCGAAGUAAAGUUUGUACAAAUAUCUGUUUUGCUAAAAGCUUUCAUCAACCAAAUGAACAAGAGCUAACACAAAGCUUGGAGGAAAACCCAGAAAAGAAAGAGGUCUUUCUCCCUAAGUAUCACCAUUAAGUGGCCGUUCAAAUGACUAGCACUGAAAUGAUUUAACAGUUUUUACAUUUUCAUCUUCACCAGUAGCUUCCAGAUUCUCCACACCCAUGAGAUAGAUGGGGUGGUGAAUAACUUGCUGUUAAAUACAAGGGGAAUACGCAGAGAUUAAUUUGGCUGAUGACAGCUUGCAGUUGCAGAAUAAAGACAGCCUCAUCUUGAACUGAUUUGGAUCAUCUUUGAAACCAAUGGGGUGAAUUAAAAAUAAAAAUUUAAGUUUCUGCAGAAACUGAUGGGUUAUCAGAAGACCUUACAACUUGCUGCUUCAGCAAGAUCCUUGCAAUAAAUGUUAAAUAUUGAAAUAAAUGUA